GGUGAUUGACUCGCUUUUGGAGACAGCCUCAAAUUGCCAUUCAAGGAACUGCAGUUUUUGGCACCUCUGCAUUGGCUUAAUUUUUCAGUCCCGGAGGUUGCUGCUUGGGUUAAGGUUAGGUUUCACCCCAUUACACCUGCAGGUCUUUGUUAUUACUUUAGAUCAGAACUCAGUUAACUGCAUAUGCUGUUUCAGUUCAAACAACAAGUGAUGAACAGAAUUGCUCAGGGGAAAAAAGUGGGGAAAUUGCACACCAUUUCCCUUGUAGCAGGCGACUUAGCUUUUGGCUAACAUAAGAAUAUGAUCUAAUUACUGAAUCUAGUUUUUUAUACAGGAGUUACAUUCAUUACUGACUUUGUAUGAGCAAAGAGAGAGAAGAUCUAAAUUCACCUCCAGAUGCAGCAGCAGCCUCAAGUCACUCUGUGUAUUGUAUGCAGGGGUCAAAGUGGGCAUUAUGGAUUUUCUUUCUAUUUCUUGCUUAUUUCACUGCUUUGGACAGCUUAGGAACAUAGUGGUGGCCAAAAAUGAUAAAUUAUUUUACAAUUACUGUUGUAGGAGCUUAAGAACUUGGGGAAACCCUACAGUAGAAGGGGCAGCUGCCUGUAUUUGCCACCCUGUAGAUUCACCCCAAUGCAGAGGGUAGUCCGAGUCCUGAUCUCCCACAACGUCUGAAAUAGACACUAUGAGACAGAUGACGUCUAAAUAAGUGAUGAAAUACUGCUUUGGAUGGCCUAUCUCUGUCCAGGGGAGUAAAACUCCUGAGAGAAACAGCCAUCACUACCAAGCCAGAUGAGGUCACUGAGUGAGAGGGAGAGAGAUAUUUGUCAAAGGAAAUGAAAUCAAGAAAGUCAUUUUUAACACUGAGUUCUUCAUGGGGUGAUGAUGGAGCUCAAGUGGAAUGUUUGAUGCAUCAGAGCCAAACCAGGGUCCUGUUGGAGGCAAUGAUGUGUUUUUUUGUUUGUUUGUUUGUUUUUGUACCAUCCCCAAAGGAUGCUCGCUAAUGAUUUUUGUUACACCCUGAUCUUUCAUUUACGAAAAAUUAUAACAAAAAAUAAUUUUUAGAUUUUUUUUUAGAUUCACGGUACCCAGAUGAUGAAUCUUGGUGACUUUGAUGACCCUAUCAUCUCUUUCACACACCAGAUAACAAGACCUGUCAUGACUUUCAUCUGUUCCAAAUAGUUUGCUCUGUCUUAGCUUGUUUACCUGUUUGGACUGAUCUCCCCGUAACAGAUUCUGUUUUGUACUCUGAACAUAAUAAACUUUGUUUUAAAGGA